rnacentral:rRNA from 1 species
UACAGAGGGUGCGAGCGUUAAUCGGAAUUACUGGGCGUAAAGCGCACGUAGGCGGUUUGGUAUGUCGGGUGUGAAAUCCCCGGGCUCAACCUGGGAACUGCAUCCGAAACUGCCUUGCUAGAGUAUGGGAGAGGGAAGUGGAAUUUCCGGUGUAGCGGUGAAAUGCGUAGAUAUCGGAAGGAACAUCAGUGGCGAAGGCGACUUCCUGGACCAAUACUGACGCUCAGGUGCGAAAGCGUGGGGAGCAAACAGG